UACGUAGGGGGCGAGCGUUGUCCGGAAUCAUUGGGCGUAAAGAGCGUGUAGGCGGCUUGGCAAGUCUGACGUGAAAGCCCGCGGCUCAACCGCGGAUUGUCGUUGGAAACUGCCUCGCUAGAGUCCGGAAGAGGAGAGCGGAAUUCCUGGUGUAGCGGUGGAAUGCGCAGAUAUCAGGAAGAACACCCGUGGCGAAGGCGGCUCUCUGGGACGGUACUGACGCUGAGACGCGAAAGCGUGGGGAGCGAACAGGG
rnacentral:rRNA from 1 species